rnacentral:lncRNA from 1 species
UAGCUCACUUAGAUGCACUUUAGUUUAACUCACUUAGUUACACCUUAGUUUAGCUCACUUAGUGACACCUUAGCUUAGGUCACUUAGUUGCACCUUAGCUUAGUUCACUUAGUUGCACCUUAGCUUAGUUCACUUAGUUGCACCUUAGCUUAGUUCACUUAGUUGCACCUUAGCUUAGUUCACUUAGUUGCACCUUAACUUAGUUCACUUAGUUGCAUUUAGGGUUUAGCUCACUUAGUUACACCUUAGUUUAGCUCACUUAGAUGCACUUUAGUUUAGCUCACUUAGUUACAACCUAGUUUAGCUCACUUGGUUACACCUUAGUUUAGC